rnacentral:rRNA from 1 species
UACGGAGGAUCCGAGCGUUAUCCGGAAUUAUUGGGUUUAAAGGGUGCGUAGGCGGCCAUUUAAGUCAGCGGUGAAAUUUUGCAGCUUAACUGUAACAGUGCCGUUGAUACUGGGGAGCUAGGAUUUGGUUGCUGUGGGUGGAAUGUGUGGUGUAGCGGUGAAAUGCUUAGAGAUCACACAGAAUAUCGAUUGCGAAGGCAGCUUACUAAACUGUAACUGACGCUGAGGCACGAAAGCGUGGGUAUCAAACAGGAUUAGAUA